rnacentral:rRNA from 1 species
UACGUAGGUGACAAGCGUUGUCCGGAUUUACUGGGCGUAAAGAGCGCGCAGGCGGUCGUUCAAGUCGAGUGUGAAAGCCCCCGGCUCAACUGGGGAGGGUCAUUCGAUACUGAUCGACUCGAAGGCAGGAGAGGGUAGUGGAAUUCCCGGUGUAGUGGUGAAAUGCGUAGAUAUCGGGAGGAACACCGGUGGCGAAGGCGGGUCUCUGGGCAGUAACUGACGCUGAGAAGCGAAAGCGUGGGGAGCGAACAGG